AUCCCAUGGUAAGGGCAUUUGCAAAGUAACUUUUUAAAUCUUUCCCAUGCCUCGUAUAAGGGUUCAUCAUCCAAUUACUAAAAAUUAGUGAUCUCAUUAUGCAACU
rfam:Gossypium raimondii chromosome 5, whole genome shotgun sequence.